UUCCAGACUCCUACGGGAGGCAGCAGUGAGGGAUAUUGGUCAAUGGGGGAAACCCUGAACCAGCAACGCCGCGUGAGGGAAGACGGUUUUCGGAUUGUAAACCUCUGUCCUCUGUGAAGAUAAUGACGGUAGCAGAGGAGGAAGCUCCGGCUAACUACGUGCCAGCAGCCGCGGUAAUACGUAGGGAGCAAGCGUUGUCCGGAUUUACUGGGUGUAAAGGGUGCGUAGGCGGCCUUGCAAGUCAGAAGUGAAAUCCAUGGGCUUAACCCGUGAACUGCUUUUGAAACUGUAGGGCUUGAGUGAAGUAGAGGCAGGCGGAAUUCCCGGUGUAGCGGUGAAAUGCGUAGAUAUUAGGAGGAACACCAGUGGCGAAGGCGGCUUACUGGACUGUAACUGACGUUGAGGCUCGAAAGCGUGGGGAGCAAACAGGAUUAGAUACCCCUGUAG
rnacentral:rRNA from 1 species